GAAGUGAACUCUGGAGAGAUCCCGGCCGAUGACCGGGGCGCCGAAGGGAUAGCGAUCUCAGGCAGAAGGACAGAGGGGGCAUC
rnacentral:ncRNA from 2 species